UACGUAGGGUGCAAACGUUAUCCGGAUUUACUGGGCGUAAAGAGUGCGCAGGCGGCGGGGCAAGUCCGAUGUGAAAUCUCCCGGCUUAACUGGGAAACUGCAUCGGAAACUGACCGGCUUGAAGGUGGGAGAGGGUAGUGGAAUUCCCGGUGUAGUGGUGAAAUGCGUAGAUAUCGGGAGGAACACCAGUGGCGAAGGCGACUACCUGGCCCAUUCUUGACGCUGAGGCGCGAAAGCUAGGGGAGCGAACGGG
rnacentral:rRNA from 1 species